rnacentral:lncRNA from 1 species
AGCCGAGAUCGUGCCAUUGCACUCCAGCCUGGGAGACAAAGCGACAUCUCAAAAAAAAAAAAAAAAAAAAGCUUUUUUAUUAUUAUUGUAUUUGUUAUGGUGAUCUGUGAUUAGUAAUCUUUGAUGUUACUAUUGUAAUGGUUUUGGAGUGCCACAAACAUAAGAUCACGUGACAGUGACCUUAAUAUAUAAAUGUGUGUGUUGUGAUUGUUCUACUGACCAGCCAUUUCCUGUCUCCCUCUUCUUAUGCCUCCCUGUUAAAUUAGACACAACAACAUUGAAAUCAGACCAAUUAAUAACCCUACAGUGGUCUCUGAGAGAGGCUAACAGCUAAUCCUCUUGUGCUAAACAGCCAAAUUGUGAAUGCAAAGGAAAAGUUCUCAAAGGAAAUUAAAAGUGCUACUCCAGUGAACACAUGAAUGAUAAGAAAGUGCUGGGAUUACAGGUGUGAGCCACCAUACCUGGCAGGGAACUUCAUUAUUUAAAGGAGAAAGAGCAAGCAGGAGGGGGAAAACGGGAGGUAGGGUAGGUAGUGAGGCGAAUUGUUACAUUCUUGUGAGGCUCUGAUUAGCCUCAGUAAAUUGACAUUUUACAUGUGAAAAGGGGAAGUAGAGGAAAUGAGGCUAUGGUACAGGAUUGUGAAAUUACAGCUAUCUGGUAACAAAAGGAAUGCAGUAAUUCAGCUCUCAAGCUUAAUGUCCCUUUGGCAUAGUGAGUUUGGGGUCCCAAGAUUCUAUUUUCUUUCACACUAACACCAACAACAAUAACAACAAAAGAACAAGACAUCUGCAAGAAAAUAGUAUCUUUAUUGAGAGAUAUUAUGAAGAUAUUAUGAUUAAUGUACUGAGAGAUAUAUCACGUAUUAUUUGGAGGUAUCAGAUUACAAAGAUGCUAAUUCUACUUAAAUUGCCCUAUAAAUUAAGUGCACUGGGAAGGUGGAGUAGACAUACUUCCUAAAUUCCUCCCACUAAAUACAACUAAAAACCCUGGACAUUAUAUAUAAAACAAACAUAAGAAGACUGAAAGAAAAGCCGGGCGUGAUGGUUCAUGCCUGUAAUCCCAGCACUUUGAAAGGCUGAGGCAGGUGGAUCUCUUGAGGUCAGUAGUUAAAGACUAGCCUGGCCAAUAUGGUGAAACCCCAUCUCUACUAAAAAUACAAAAUUAGCC